rnacentral:rRNA from 1 species
AUGGCAGACGACAGCGACGGCGAGGGGUUCUGCGCCAACCCGUUCGAGGACGAUAGCGACGGCGGUAACUCAUGCGACUAUCGCUGCUGCUGUGAUGAUGACGACGAGGGCGAGUGGUCAUGCGGUGCCCCCUGCGACGAGGAGGACGACGACGACAGCAACGGCGAGGAGAUCUGCAGGGACCCGCGCGACAACGUCGUCGUCGACGACGACGAAGACGAAGGGGAGGUCGAGGAAGCGUUAUGCCACGACGACGACGAAGGUGAGAGCGAUGGGUCGUUAUGCGACGAGGACGCCGAGGGCGAGCAGUUAUCCGACGACGACGAAUGCGAGGGGAAGGGCGGGGGAUUCGGCGACGACCGGUGUGACGAUGAGGACGAGGGCAAGCCCGACGGGGAGAGCGAGGAUUUCUGCGAGAACCCCUCCAACCAUGACGAAGAUGUCGGUGCGGAGGUGCUAUCCCGCGGCGGCGGCGGCGGCUUCCGCGGCGGGGAGUUAUUCGUCUCCCGCUUCCUUUUUUCAGAUGCUUCCGACAUCUCCGACUCCGAUCAUUCCGACUCCGAGGUAGAGGAGGCCGGCGGCGGAGAGGGGCUCACGCCCAGCGGGUUCGACCAGACGCCGUCGCCCGGGGCCUUCCGGAUGGCGGUGGGCGUAGAAGACAGCGACUCCGAUACCGUAUCCACCGAUUCCGAUUACGAAGACGACUACGAAUUCCUCAAGCGGCCCGCGUCACGCCAGGCGGUGGAAGGCCUGCCGGAGAUGAUCCUCAGCGAAGAGGAGGCCACGUGCGGCUGCGCGGUGUGCAAGGAUGUCUUCGCGUCAGGGCAACGCGUUGUCUUUCUCCCGUGCAAGCACUACUUCCAUGGCGACUGCAUCCUGCCAUGGCUCGCCAUGAGGAGCACAUGCCCUGUGUGCCGGUAUCAACUCCCCACCGAUGAUACUGGGUCUGGGCAGCGACAGUCACAUCAAUUGAGGGUCCUUUUACCAGUGGAUCCUCAGGGUGCAUCUCAGCAGAGCGGAGGCGAAGCCACCACAAGAAGCGGCUGA